AAGCAUAUCAAUAAGCGGAGGAAAAGAAACCAACAGGGAUUGCCUCAGUAACGGCGAGUGAAGCGGCAACAGCUCAAAUUUGAAAUCUGGCUCCGUUAGGGGUCCGAGUUGUAAUUUGUAGAGGAUGCUUUGGGCACGGCCACGGUCUAAGUUCUCUGGAACGAGACGUCAUAGAGGGUGAGAAUCCCGUAUGGGACCGCCGGCCACGCCCGUGUAAAGCUCCUUCGACGAGUCGAGUUGUUUGGGAAUGCAGCUCAAAAUGGGUGGUAAAUUUCAUCUAAAGCUAAAUAUUGGCCAGAGACCGAUAGCGCACAAGUAGAGUGAUCGAAAGAUGAAAAGCACUUUGAAAAGAGAGUUAAACAGCAUGUGAAAUUGUUGAAAGGGAAGCGUUGGCGACCAGACUCACCCGUGGCGGCUCACCAGGCGUUCUCGCCUGGGCACUCCACCACGGUUGGGCCAGCAUCGGUUUGGGCGGUCGGUCAAAGGCCCCUGGAAUGUAUCAUCCCCCGGGAUGCCUUAUAGCCAGGGGUGCAAUGCGGCCUGCCCGGAUCGAGGAACGCGCUUCGGCACGGAUGCUGGCGUAAUGGUCGUCAACGACCCGUCUUGAAACACGGACCAAGGAGUCAACCAACUAUGCGAGUGUUUGGGUGUCAAACCCCGGCGCGGAAUGAAAGUGAACGGAGGUGGGAACCCCUCACGGGGCGCACCAUCGACCGAUCCUGAUGUCUUCGGAUGGAUUUGAGUAAGAGCAUAGCUGGUUGGACCCGAAAGAUGGUGAACUAUGCCUGAAUAGGGUGAAGCCAGAGGAAACUCUGGUGGAGGCUCGCAGCGGUUCUGACGUGCAAAUCGAUCGUCAAAUUUGGGUAUAGGGGCGAAAGACUAAUCGAACCAUCUGGUAGCUGGUUCCUGCCGAAGUUUCCCUCAGGAUAGCAGUAACGUUUUCAGUUUUAUGAGGUAAAGCGAAUGAUUAGAGGCCUUGGGGUCGAAACGACCUUAACCUAUUCUCAAACUUUAAAUAUGUAAGAAGUCCUUGUUACUUAAUUGAACGUGGACAUUGGAAUGUAUCGUUACUAGUGGGCCAUUUUUGGUAAGCAGAACUGGCGAUGCGGGAUGAACCGAACGCGAGGUUAAGGUGCCGGAAUGUACGCUCAUCAGACACCACAAAAGGUGUUAGUUCAUCUAGACAGCCCGACGGUGGCCAUGGAAGUCGGAAUCCGCUAAGGAGUGUGUAACAACUCACGGGCCGAAUGAACUAGCCCUGAAAAUGGAUGGCGCUCAAGCGUACUACCCAUACCUCGCCGUCAGGGUAGAAAUGAUGCCCUGACGAGUAGGCAGGCGUGGAGGUCCGUGACGAAGC
rnacentral:rRNA from 1 species